AAACCCUUGACUACACUCUGAAAUCUACCAAACUGCCCCGUGGUUUAUUUCAAUUUUUGUGCAAGGAAGAGCAAUCCGACCCUAUACUCACCGCGGCAUCCUGGUCCUUGGAUGUCGAGGUCCAUCAACACGGCGCCUACAU
rnacentral:snoRNA from 1 species